ACCUGCAGGCUGGAGUCGCCUCAUGGGGCAGGUGGACUCGGAGACAGGGAAGCCAGGAGGCCAGGGGCCACUCGCCAGGCUGCCUCAAAGCCAAGGUCCCCCAGAGGCAGAGCUCCUCCGGGGGGCAGCUGCCAGGACCCCUGGGGAGCUCCUGUAGGCGAAUCCCGCCCGCAGAGCAUCCUCACCCAGCUGGGGUAGCCCCCAGGAGAAACUGAGGCUUCAUCUGGGGACAAUCACUGCCCCGAGCCGAAUUGGAAACAAACCUCUCCUGGACAAAGACUUCGGAGGCUCACUCCAGUCUUGCUCCUCCACAACGGCACCACCUUGGCCCAAAGCAUCAGCGGAGGGUAGUUGCACGUGCGGGGCCUCCGUCACCCUCCAGACUCAGCCCUAGCCUGAGAGACAGGCCGACAGACAACUGCAAAUGGCACAGUGAGGAAAGACGCCAGAAAAACGUGUCGUUGUCGAGCUGGCUGCCGAGCCCAGGCACGGGAACCUGAAAGGGGCUCCGAAAGGCCUCCCGGAGCGGCGGAGGCUGGGGCAAGGAGGCCAGGCACCGGGAAGGCUUAGGGAUGAUGUCAGAUGGCUUCAGCUUCUGAGAGCUUAUCAAGUGCCUGCCAUCCCCUCACUGCCUAAUUCUGCAAGGCGCCGGGACAUCACUCAGGCCCAAUGAGGAGCCAUUAACCUAGAUCAAGUGUGCCCUGCGGGGAAACCAUCUCCCAGCAGCCUCAUUAGGACAGGACCUUGCAGCAAGACACAAAGGGCUGUUGUCUCUGGGGAACAGAGGUCCAGGGCGGUCCUCUGGCCGAAGUAACACUAGCCUUGCCGGGACAGGCAACCUUCAGAAUCAGAGACCUGGGUGUCAUUCUGGCCCUAAUUGAAAAGCCAUGUGCCCCUGGGCCAGUUGCUUCACCUCUCUGAACUUCAGCUUCCUGGAGUGUACAUGGGCCAACAUAGCCGAACUUGCAUGGUUGUGAGGAUCCCAUGCCUCCAGUGCAGACCACACGUGGGCUCAUGGUCCUCAAAAGCUGACCCUGUCGCCUCCCACUCUGGUUGCCCGGGAUCCUGGCCACCUCCUGGCACUCUGUCCACUUUGCAGUGGCCUCCAAGUGAAUGUGUGGAAAGCUGAACUCACCAGUGGCCUCUACACCAGGUCCGCUACUUAAAUUACACAUGUCCAACCUGAGAAUGAUGACCGUCCUGUACGCUGAGGCUAAAAGCUACAAAAUCAUCUUUGACUUUGUCUCUUGGCUUAAAUCCUUCUACCCAAUGGUCACCAAGCUUGGGUAAAUCCCUCACCUAAACUUGCCUUCAUCCAGUCCUCUGUACCCAGACCCGGGUCAAGACCAGAUCCUGUCCACAGCAAGGGCUCUCUCUACAAGCUCUGGGGUGUGGGUGAGGAUGUGAAGGUGGGGCCCUGCCCUCAGGGAGCUUCCCUUUAAUGCAGGAAUCUGGCUUGUCCAACCUUCCCUGUGACAGAGGAGAGGCACCAACAGUCCCAUCAACAAAGACAGACUGGGAAGUCUACAGGUGGCACUUGGAUGGGCUAUUAAAAGACAAGGAACAUUGAAAUCGGUGCUGCAGUGAUGAAGGGCAUUGCAGUGUAGGGAAAAGCAAACUGUCCAUUCAGUAAUAUUCUAAGCACCUAUUGUGUGCAGGCACCUCAUUCCAGUAACUAGGACAGAAGACUCUGCUCUCAUGGAGUUUACAAAUUCAAACACAAUAAGUAUUAUAAAGAAAAUAAAAUAUAGCAUGUGAUGGAGAGUGACAGAGGGAAGCUUCUGUAAGGAAACAUUUCCAGAAGGUCUUAAUAACAAAAAGGAGCCCUGUAAAACUGAAGGGAAGAACAUUCUAGGCAAAGAGAACAGCAAGUGCAAAGACGAUAAUCCUGUCUUCUUCAGGGAACAAAAAUACUUUUGACAAUCCAGACAGUGUGGUUCUGGCAUAAGGAUAGAAUCAUAGACUAAUGGGAUAGAACUGAGAGUCCAGAAAUAAACUCAUAUAUCUAUAGUUAAUUUAUUUGCAACAAGGGUGCCAAGAUUGUUCCAUGAGAAAAGAAUAAUCUUUUUGAUAAAUGGUUCUGGGACAACAGAAUAUCUAUCUGCCAAAGAAUGAAGGUGGUCAUCCCCUGCCUUACAGCACAUACAAAAAUUAACUCAAAAUGCGUAAAUAAAGGCUAACCCUAUAAAACUCUUGGAAGAAAACAUAGGAGAAAAUAUUCAUGAUCUUGGAUUUGGCAAUGAUUUCUUAGACAUAACACUGAAAGC